rnacentral:rRNA from 1 species
GAUGAACGCUGGCGGCGUGCCUAAUACAUGCAAGUCGAGCGAACAGACGAGGAGCUUGCUCCUCUGACGUUAGCGGCGGACGGGUGAGUAACACGUGGAUAACCUACCUAUAAGACUGGGAUCACUUCGGGAAACCGGAGCUAAUACCGGAUAAUAUCUUGAACCGCAUGGUUCAAUAGUGAAAGACGGUUUUGCUGUCACUUAUAGAUGUAUCCGCGCCGCAUUAGCUAGUUGGUAGGGUAACGGCGUACCAAGGCAACGAUGCGUAGCCGACCGGGAAGGGGGAUCGGCCGCACUGGAACGGAGACGGGGACCCUGCUCCUACGGGACGCAGCAGAAGCGAAUCUGCGGCAAUGGGCGAAAGCAUGACGCAGCAACGGCGCGUGUGUGACGGAGGUCUCCGGUGCGGAAUACUCUGUUAUGAGGGAAGAACAAAUUUGUAUGGAACAAAGGACGUCUUGACGGUACCUAAUCAGAAAGCCACGGCUAACUACGUG